GGGAUUCGAUACACAAGCGUAAGCGUUGGUAUACUCGACACAAUUGCAGAUAAUAUUUAUGGAUCAAUGGAUCUAGGCACUAGAAUAGGCAUCAGAUAUACCGAUAUACAGAUAUACCGAUAUAGAUACAGAUAUAGUAAGCAAAGUAGCAGCAUAUUGUAGGACGUAGAUCGUUGUGAUAGGAAUAUUUUGUAUUGUAUUUUGUAGUGGAAGAGCGGCUCUCGAUUGUAGUGUGCAAUCUCGGUUUCGUAGUUGAGACAGACGCUCUGACUGAGACUGAGGCCCUGAAAGAAUGAAACAGAAAGGAAAAGGACAGAGACAGAGACAGAAACAGAAACAGAGAAUAGGAGUAAAGGUAGAAAUCAAUAGAAUAUUGAAUAUGUUUUAAUAAUCUACGAACGUGUAAACAAUUGUCAAUGGAAAUUGUGCUGUGAAACAAUGUGUGUAUAGGAAACAACAAACAAAACAAAACAAAAAACAAUUAAUAAAACGAAUGUCUACAAAAAAGCAAGAGAAAAGAAGGAAUGGAAGAGGUCGAGGGAAACACGCUGAAUGUAAUUCUUAUGCAAUAUCACAUUUAUUUAGAGAAUCUUUGUGUACGAACGCGAGAGGAGGAAGGAGAGGAAGCUAGAUGGGUUAGCUAGAGAUUAGAUUAGGCAUAAGUAAACAAAACAAAACAAAACAAAA